rnacentral:rRNA from 1 species
UGGAGGACCGAACCGACUAAUGUUGAAAAAUUAGCGGAUGACGUGUGGCUGGGGGUGAAAGGCCAAUCAAACCGGGAGAUAGCUGGUUCUCCCCGAAAUCUAUUUAGGUAGAGCCUUAUGUGAAUACCUUCGGGGGUAGAGCACUGUUUCGGCUAGGGGUCCAUCCCGGAUUACCAACCCGAUGCAAACUGCGAAUACCGAAGAGUAAUGCAUAGGAGACACACGGCGGGUGCUAACGUCCGUCGUGGAGAGGGAAACAACCCAGACCGCCAGCUAAGGUCCCAAAGUGUAUGUUAAGUGGGAAACGAAGUGGGAAGGCUUAGACAGCUAGGAUGUUGGCUUAGAAGCAGCCACCAUUUAAAGAAAGCGUAAUAGCUCACUAGUCGAGUCGGCCUGCGCGGAAGAUGUAACGGGGCUGAAACAUAGCACCGAAGCUGCGGCAUUCAGAGGACAGAUUACAGAUGACAGAGGACAGAAUAAAUGGUUAUUGAAGCUAAAAUUAUGGAUUAUAAAGAUUUAGUGGUGUGGCAAAAAGCGUACCAACUAUCGUUAGAAAUUCAUAAGCAUACAUUAGAUUAUCCAAGAUAUGAACAGUUUGAACUUGCAAGUCAAAUGCGAAGAGCGAGCAAAGGGAUUUGUGCAAAUCUUGCGGAAGGGUUUGGCAAGCAAAGUGUCAGUAAAGCAGAGUUUAAACGUUUUAUCUUAAUGGCAAUGGGAAGUGCAGAUGAAAUGAGGGUAUGGCUAAGUUAUAGUAAAGACUUAGGCUAUUUAAAUGAAGCUGCGUGCGAAAAGUUAGAAAUAGCUUAUCGAGAUAUUGCAAGAAUGCUAAACGGUUUACAUAAAAGCUGGUCAUAGCAAUUUAUUCUGUCAUCAGUCGUCUGUCAUCUGUCCUCUGAUUGGGUAGGGGAGCGUUGUGUAAGCGGAUGAAGGUUCAUCGAGAGGUGGGCUGGACGUAUCACAAGUGCGAAUGCUGACAUAAGUAACGAUAAAACGGGUGAAAAACCCGUUCGCCGGAAGACCAAGGUUUCCUGUCCAACGUUAAUCGGGGCAGGGUGAGUCGGCCCCUAAGGCGAGGCUGAAAAGCGUAGUCGAUGGGAAACGGGUUAAUAUUCCCGUACUUGGUAAAACUGCGAUGUGGGGACGGAGCAGGUUAGGUUAGCAGUCUGUUGGAAUAGGCUGUUUAAGUUGGUAGGUGGGUGAAUUAGGCAAAUCCGGUUCACCUUAACACCGAGAGAUGAUGACGAAGCUCUACGGAGCUGAAGUAACUGAUACCACACUUCCAGGAAAAGCCACUAAGCAUCAGGUUUUACUAAACCGUACUAUAAACCGACACAGGUGGUCAGGUAGAGAAUACUCAGGCGCUUGAGAGAACUCGGGUGAAGGAACUAGGCAAAAUAGCACCGUAACUUCGGGAGAAGGUGCGCUUACGGUAGUUAAAGUCCGAAACGGAUGGAGGUGAAGUAAGUCGAAGAGACCAGCUGGCUGCAACUGUUUAUUAAAAACACAGCACUCUGCAAACACGAAAGUGGAGGUAUAGGGUGUGAUGCCUGCCCGGUGCUGGAAGGUUAAUUGAUGGUGUUAUCGCAAGAGAAGCACCUGAUCGAAGCCCCAGUAAACGGCGGCCGUAACUAUAACGGUCCUAAGGUAGCGAAAUUCCUUGUCGGGUAAGUUCCGACCUGCACGAAUGGCAUAAUGAUGGCCAGGCUGUCUCCACCCGAGACUCAGUGAAAUUGAAAUCGCCGUGAAGAUGCGGUGUACCCGCGGCUAGACGGAAAGACCCCGUGAACCUUUACUAUAGCUUGACACUGAACCUUGAAUUUUGAUGUGUAGGAUAGGUGGGAGGCGAAGAAGCGGUAACGCCAGUUAUCGUGGAGCCGUUGUUGAAAUACCACCCUUUAAGGUUUGAUGUUCUAACGAAGCGCCCUGAACGGGUGUUCGGACAGUGUCUGGUGGGUAGUUUGACUGGGGCGGUCUCCUCCCAAAGCGUAACGGAGGAGCACGAAGGUUUGCUAAUGACGGUCGGACAUCGUCAGGUUAGUGCAAUGGUAUAAGCAAGCUUAACUGCGAGACGGACAAGUCGAGCAGGUGCGAAAGCAGGUCAUAGUGAUCCGGUGGUUCUGAAUGGAAGGGCCAUCGCUCAACGGAUAAAAGGUACUCCGGGGAUAACAGGCUGAUACCGCCCAAGAGUUCAUAUCGACGGCGGUGUUUGGCACCUCGAUGUCGGCUCAUCACAUCCUGGGGCUGAAGUAGGUCCCAAGGGUAUGGCUGUUCGCCAUUUAAAGUGGUACGCGAGCUGGGUUUAGAACGUCGUGAGACAGUUCGGUCCCUAUCUGCCGUGGGCGUAGGAGAAUUGAGGGGGGCUGCUCCUAGUACGAGAGGACCGGAGUGGACGCAUCCCUGGUGUUCCGGUUGUGUCGCCAGACGCAUUGCCGGGUAGCUAAAUGCGGAAGAGAUAAGUGCUGAAAGCAUCUAAGCACGAAACUUGCCCCGAGAUGAGUUCUCCCCGACUUUAAAGUUGGUAAGGGUUGUUGAAGACGACGACGUAGAUAGGCAUGGUGUGUAAGCGUAGUGAUACGUUGAGCUAACAUGUACUAAUUGCCCGAGAGGCUUAACCAU